GGUAUUUGAACAUCCUGCAGUGGGAUUUAGCUCCUCUGACUCCCAUCCUCGCCCACAAAUCCGCUAACACGGGGCAUGUUUGCAGAGUGAGGCGGCUGGAGCCGGGGGACAGCUGCGACAGGGAAACGGAGGCGCACGGCGUGGUUCAAACACGCUGUUCUCAGCAGUGAUGUUUUAUUGGCAUCCUGGGGACGCAAGGCACAAAGGCCCUGUGAUGGGACACUGGCAGGUAUGCCUUCGAGGAACCAACGGAAACAACCCAACACAACCAGACAGACCCCUGGGCCUCCCUCCAGCUCCCUUCCUGGGUGUGGCCCUCCUUCCCUUCUCUGUUGGUGUGGAAAGUAACAUCACGUCUCUUCAAUCCAAGGAAAUCUUGGUGACUCCAUUUUGCUCCAGCUUUGGCUCAAACACCUUCCUGUGACCCCCUGCCCCCUUUCCCUCUUCUCCCAGUAACAAUCUGUUUCAAAUGAGCCCCCCGAGAAGAAUGUGGGCCCUGACCUGACCCACGGGAAGGGGACAGGUCCAUCACCUGCGUUAGGGAUGCACAGGGAGGGUCUUUCCUUCUUCACGUGCGCUCGCUUUUUGAGCACUGGCGCCUCCUGCAGAAGGAAAGAGCCUUGUCGCGGUCUCCCCAUGCUCGAGGGUCGCAUUUUCCGACACUGGCGAUGCGAGCCAUCUCCCCGACACUGGGGACAGUCUUUCUGAACCACAGGUCUCCCUCUGUAAUCCAGUCUCCUGCACGGACUCCUUCCCAGGCCACCAGCACCGGAACCACGAACACCUGUCAGCUCAUCCUUUCCUUCCCUGAUGACGUCACCAAAGCCUUCUUCAGCAAGUUCUUCUCGAGUGCAGCCCACCGUUCUCUGGGGUUCCCCCCUGCCUGCCCUUCCCUCCGCUUCUCUUUCUCUUCCCACGGUCAUGGGGCUUGGAACCCUUGAUGGGAAGGCUUGCUAGGUCUUGGAAGUCCCAGGUAACAGGUGAGUGUGGUGGGCGACAGCUAGAUCCCCGUGGCCACCUCUCCCCCCAUGGCCAGCAUCUGAACCCUUCUCCUCCCUAAUGGGCUCUCCUUCCUGGUUACGUCACAUCUGGGAAGGUCACCCCAAGGUUACAACCUUCACAUUGUGGGCUCGAGCAUCUCUCCCGUUUCCGUCACCCCAUCACGGCUGCUCAAGCACAGGUGCUCAAGCAGGUGCUCUAUAACCUGGAGAUGUUUCCAGGGGUUCAGAGUCACCGUUUCCUUUCAUUGCCCAAUGAACUCCUUUGAGUCUCUUUCUGCGGUGACUGCAAGCAGCCCAGGGCCUGUCUCCUCAGCACCCCCUCUUCUAGAUCUGCAGGCCAGGGCUGGCCAGUGUCUUGCUGCUGGAGGUACUGCCCUUCUUCCCUCGGCAAAGCUGCCUUCCACACAGUAAUCACGCCGGCUGCAAAGGUUAACAAACCUUCCUGAGGUCUCGAGAUGUCACGGAAGGGAGGGAAUCGCUGUAGGAUUGAAUGUGAGGCUCACAGUUUCUCAGGUCCCCUGAGCGCGGGCUGCGUCCUCUCUCCAAGGUACCCCUGCUGGCCGCCCAACUCCGGCCUCUACUCCAGCGCCCCCAACCUUGGUUCCUGUCCACCUUCUUCACUGAAAACUGUCACAAGCUUUUUCUUUUCAGGCUGCACCUGCAGCACAUAGAAGUUGCCAGGCCAGGGAUGGAACCUGCACUACCACGGUGACAAGGCCAGACCCCCCUGCUGAGCCACAAGAGAGCCCCAAACGGUCACGAGCUUUGUGAAGGUGCUCUUCUCCCCAAGAGUCUCACCUCCUCCUCGGGCAGCCCCCGCUCUGCCUCUCUUUGCUCGAGGCCUGUGGCCGUUGCAUAACCCCGAACGAGCUUUCCUUCUGAAAUAAGAAUCCUGCUGCCCUUCCUAGAGCACGGAAUAGCUUUCGUUGGAGAAAAAUCGUCCGUUUUUCCCCUCAUGUAUAGUCUCGGCUGCCCUUGGGAACAUGGGCUCUGUCUGGAACACUCUCCAUCCACCUUCACCUGGUAACUCGCACCUACCUUUCUAAACUCACUCGAGGUUGGCCUCUUCUGGGAAACUUUUCUUUCCUUUUUUUUUGGCUGCACCCGGGGUCUGCGGGCAUGCCACAGCUGUAACCAGGGCCAUAGCAGUGACCAUGCCAGGUCCUUAGCCCCCUGAGCCACAAGGGAACUCCCGGGGCAGCCUUUCUUGAGCCACGUCCCUCCCCCCAUUCUGAUCCUGGAGUCUGGGGUCUAAGAGCUUCACAGGUCUGGCCGCACAGCCCCAAACCCCUGGUUUACAGAACUGUCUCCUCCACCGGAUGCUAACGUCCUCGAGGGAGUCCUGUCCUCUUUGACAGGUGCCUAGGGAACAGCAUCGUGCCGGUAUACAGUAGGUGUUCAAUACAGGCUCACGAAAUGGAUAAAUGAAAAUACACUGAGCCUUAUCCCACACCCGAGCUUCAGUCUCUCAGCACGCACACCACGCUACUGCAGAUUUCUGGAGGGCUCAUGGUUUCAACGUCCUAAGAAUUAUUUUACUCAUUUUGAAAAGUAAGGAUAAGUGUGUAUUAUACGUAAUGGAAAGUUCAAAUAAUACUUAAAAUCAGAAAGAAGAAAGUAA
rnacentral:lncRNA from 1 species